ACACAUGUCCGUAAUGCCAAUAGCGGAAAACACAACUCGAGUCUGUAGUUCCAUUUAACUUAGUAGUAUAAAGUAAGCGAAAAGCAGUGGAGAGUGGCUUCGAAAACAUUCAGUAAAGAAGAGCCUCUUGCAACGCAAAAUAAACUGAUUGGGUAGUCUUGCAGAUUCUUAGAUUCAGAGGACAGUAUUUGUAUGAAGUGAAUGGCAAUUAGUAUUUGGACUGUAUCAGCAACGUUCAGCACGCGGCAAAGGACACGAUCCAAAGCCCUUUGAACAUAACAGUACAACAUAAUCAACACAACAGUGCCUCCUAGUGUUCAGAGGCCAAUGAUCUAGCAUUACACUUGGAACCCAACAUGAAGACAUUGUGUUUGACCAUUCUGGAAACUGACAGAACAGAAAGAGUGGCUUUACAUGGUGUGCAAGAGGAUACGUGCUGCAUGCGUCUAUUCUUUGAUACGUGUGCUCUGCAAGGGGAGUGUUUGUGGCAGACGAGGUGAAGACAGGUUUUGGGCGUGUGGGGAGUCACUUUUGGGCGUUCCAGCUUCAGGGUGAUGACUUCUGCCCUGACAUAAUGACCAAGGUGAUGGGUAACGGGCAUCCCCUGGCAUGUAUGGUAACCAUAGUGGAGAUAGCUGGGGCCUUCACAGCCAACAAAGUAGAGUACUUUCACACAGUGAGAGACUAGUAGUUGCUGUUACUACCCAUUUAAAAAAUGUUACCUUAAUUUAACUUGGCAAGUCAGUUAAGAACAAAUUCUUAUUUACAAUGAUGACCUACCCUGGCCAAACCCUAACGACCCUGGGCCAAUUGUGCGCCGCCCUAUUGAACUCCCAAUCACAGCCGGUUGUGAUACACACUGGAAUCUAACCAGGGUCUGUAGUGACGCCUCUAGCACUGAGAUGCAGUGUCUUAGACCACUGCACCACUCGGGAGCCUUUAUAUAUAUAUUCUUAGAAAAUAAGGUGUAGUGCACAAAAGUUAAUGUUGUACAUUUGUUUACUGCACUGCAUCUGUGUACACAACCAAUAAACCCUGAUAUGUGCAACUCAAA